ACAAAACCCGGAAGGACCCCGCCGAAGGUUUUCUCCGGUUCGGGAGAGAGACGGAGUCCCGCUCUGUCACGCAGGCUGCCAGGCUGGCGUACAGUGGCGCAAUCUCAGCUCGCUGCAACCUCCACCUCCUGGGUUCAAGCGAUUUUCUUGCCUCUGCCUCCUGAGUAGCUGGGAUUACUGGCACACACCACCAUGCACAGUUCCUUGUUCAAAAUGCCAAGAACCUGGAUGACUCAUAGUCAAGACCCUCCACCAGUAACAUAUAUUGGCGAGCCAGCCAGGAGCUUGGAACCCUCGGUGGACAGUGCCUAAGCACAGAGGCAACCACAGGUUUCUAACAGGGCCACUCUCUGGUGAAACUGAAAGGUUUCUGUGUGAAAGUGCCUGACCACCACUGCCCAAUUCAGACCACUACAGGAAACACUCCAUUU
rnacentral:lncRNA from 1 species